AGAAAAAUAUAAAUAGGAGACUUUAAUAUUUUUUUUAAUAGAAUAUCAUGGAAAUAUAGGCCUCGAUUGACUCUGCCGCCACCUUGUAUUGAACACGUGCUUUCCCCACGAUUUCUUUUCCUUCUAUUCAACUCGAACGCGUCUUCUUGGAAGCUUCUCCAAACACGCCUUAGACUCGUCCGCCACCGUACCCUAUAUAUACCCGUCUAACCCUUUUGCUCCCGUAUUUUCUAAUUAACAUACUCCACAUUAUUUCUUCAAAAAUUAAAUUUUCGUCUUUUUCUUUGAUAUUCUUUUUUGCUUCAGAUCCCCAAAUUUCAAUUCUCUUCAAUUUCUUCUCGAUUUCGAGUCUCGUAUUCCGACCAUGACUUCGAUCGCCAUGAGGAAUUUCGUCGGCCUUCCGAUCAUCGCCUUUAUACUGGCGGCGCUUUGCCAAUUCGCCUCCGGACAGAGCGGCGCUCCUUCACCAGCGCCGGCGCCUUCCAACGAUGGCACUGCGAUUGAUCAAGGAAUUGCUUACAUCCUCCUGCUUGUUGCUCUGGCGAUUACUUAUUUAAUCCACUGAGUUCGAUUGUUGUUAUUCUAUUUUUUUAUUUUUAUAUAGAGAUUGAUUUUGGUGGUUUAGUGAUAUUUAUUCAAUCUUCAUUCGUUUUCGCCGAUUAUUAGAGUGAGGAAAUUCCUGGAGCCCUCAUAUAUAUGUAGCUUACUUGUAGAUAGAAUUUAAAUGAGAAUAGUAUUCACUGUUACAAUUUA